rnacentral:lncRNA from 1 species
UCUUAUUGAUAUUUUCUACUUAUUUAGAAGCGAUAAUAAGGAGGUCUUGAUCGUCCAGGGGUAUUUUUAUUUUUUCAGCAUAUUUUAGACGGACUGUACGCCUAAAAUUUUUCUUUUCUAUUCCGUUCACGCUCUCUUUCUCUCUCUAGGAUGCGCAGCUCUUCCUCUUCUCAGAUGUGUAACAUUAAGCUCCUCUUGCUUUUGGUGCUUUGAGUUGUUUUCCUACCUUGGCAACACCUGUGUUUCAUGGGGAUCAACAAUAUAUUUUUAGGGUUAAACAUUAUCUCUUCAGGUUAGAUUACUUCAAUGCCCUUGUUUUAGGCAAAUCCGAUCUUUACUUUUAAGGUUAUAUUUGACAGUUUAUUGAACUGUUUAGCUAUGAUCGUUGAAUAAAUUCUGGAAUAUACUCUGUUCUUCUUGGGUUUUCUCUCGAUAUUUAUCGCUCCGCUUCUCCACUGUUCAUCUUUUCGUCUCUGUGCGCGUUUGCUGACAGGUUAUUACUUUGUUUGAUCUUUAAUUUUAAGAUUAGAUUAGACAAUUUGUUAAAUUUUUUAGUUGUCUGAUAUUUACUAAUUACCAGUUACAAAAGUUAAAGGAAUCAAAACUACCGUGCUAACUGAAGGCGACUGUUUGAUGAGAAAAGUCUACGGAUUACGAAGAAACAAAGAUUAUAACUCUACUUAUAUAAUUAGAAAAACCCAUAUAGAUGAGCCGACAGAUCGAAAAUAAUACAUUUAAGUAGAAAUAAAGUAUUUAUGGAGUAGUAGUUAAUAAGGUUUUAGGGAACAUACUCUGUUUUGCUCGGGUAUCCUCUUGAUUUUUUUGGUUACGCUUUUCUUCUACUCCUCUUGUGUCUCUCUGGUCAUUCACUAUAGGUUAUUAUUUUGCGCUUCAUAUUUCAUCUCCUUCUUCAUAUUUGUGUGACUGAGUUAAUUGAAAAAGUAUCUUUAUUAGAAGUACUUAUUAUCUUUUUUUUGAUAGAAAUAUAUAAAGGACUAUACAAGCAAGCUACUCUAUUUUUCCAUUGGUGGAUUUAAUAACAAUAAGAAAAUCAGAGUUGCUCAAGUUGUUGUGUGUUGAAGUCACUUGGUUGUGGAAUUUGUUAAUGGGAAAGACUUUUAGUAUUCCCCUCCACUACUUGUUUUUUGAUUCUUUGCUCUGAGAAAACAGUUUUCCCUUGAUCAAAUUGUGAACUAAUUUAUUGUUAUAGUUAUGUUUGAACCUGUUGUAGUCUAAUGGGAAUUUCUUUGUAAAUUCGAGUUGUCACCCACUGAACACUCGCAAUGCUAUAUCAAGUUUUUUUUGUGGCUUCGAUCUGUAGUAGAUAGAGUGUAACGACCCGGCCGGUCGUUUCAAGAGUUAUAGCCUCAUUUUCCCAAAUUCUGCUUCUUUUGUGCUUUACAUCUGUAUUUUAUCUUACCGGGUUGGUUGGUUCGGGUGUGAAGCGGUUUUGGAGUGAAUUGAGACACUUAGUCUCUUAAUUGGAAGCUUAAGUUGGAAAAAGUCGACCAGAUGUCGACUUGUGAGAAAACAAUCUCGAAUUUGAAUUUUUAUGGUUCUGUUAGCUCCGUUAGGUGCUUUUGGACUUAGGAGCACGUCCGGAAUGUGAUUUGGAGGUCCGUAGUAGAAUUAGGCUUGAAUUGGCGAAAGUUGAAAUUUUACGAUUUUGGCCGACAGUAAAAAUUUUGAUAUCGGGGUUGGAUUGGAUUUUUAGAAGUUGGAAUAGGUUUGUGGUGUCAUUUUUGAGUUAGUGUGUAAAAUUUGAGGUCAAUCGGACGUGGUUUGGUAGGUUUCAGCGUCGUUUGUAGAAUUUGGAAGUUUAGAAGUUCUUAAGGCUUGAAUCCGGGUGUAAUUGGUGUUUUGAUGUUGUCUUGAGUGAUUCGAUGGUUCGACUAAGUUCGCAUGGGGUUAUAUGAGUUGUUGGUAUGAUCGGUUGAGGUCCUGGAGGCCUCGGGGUGAUUUCGGGUGGUUAACGGCUUGAUGGGAGUUAAGGAAAUGCAGUUGAAGCUGCUGCUACUGGUGUAACCGCACCUGCGAAGAGGGAACCACAUGUUCGAGUUCGCAGAAGCGAAGAAGGAGCCGCAGAUGCAGACAAGAAGGAGCUGGGCAAGAGCCGCAAGUGCAAAGAUUUUUCUGCACAUGCGAGGGUCGCAGAUGCGGGCAGUUGGGCGUAGGUGCGAAGGAUGGCCGAAGGUGCGAUGGAUUCCUACACCUGCAAUAGGCGCAGGUGAGGUCUUGGGGCCGCAUGAUCAAGGUUAAGAUUUUAAGUGGAAUCCGUACCUGCGAUGAAAUUUUCGCAGGUGCGGCAUCGCAGAAGCGACAAGAGGACCGCAAGUGCGGUAUUUCUGGGCAGAAAAAUACCAGCUCGAGGGUUGGACUUUCUUUUUCUAUUUUGGACUUGGGAAGCUCGGGAGAGAGGCUAUUUUUUCAGGAUUUUCAAGGAAAACGUUGGGGUAAGUAAUUCUAACCCAGAUUGGUCUAAAUUUCGUGAAUCUAUGGAUUUGAGUUGGAAAUUUGGGGGUUUAGGGAUUGGGAAUAUGAGAGUGAACUACGGGGUUUUGGAGGGACAAUUGAGGUCGUAUUUUUAUAAAUUGGGUAUGGUUAGACUCGUGAGUAAAUGGACUUUUGAGUUUUGUAAAUUUCGUCGGGUUUCGAGAUGUGGGCCCGGGGGGGGGGGGAGGAAUUGACCCGAUUUCGGAUUUUGGACUAUAUUUUAGUAGUUUUCUUGUGGAAUUGAUCCUUUUAACCAAUAUUGAUUAUCUCGUACUGCUUAUGGCUAGAUUCGGAGCAUUUGGAGAUUGAUUCAAGGGGCAAAGGCAUUACGGAGUAGGAGUUUUACGCGUUUGAGGUAAGUAACAGUCUUAAAUCUGGUUUUAAGGAUAUGAAACCUCGAUAAUUUGGUAUGAUGUGAGUGUUUGGAGGUUACGCACAUGCUAGGUGACAGGCGUGUGAGCGUGCACCGAGAGGGAUUGUGUACUUUUUCCNNNNNNNNNNNNNNNNNNNNNNNNNNNNNNNNNNNNNNNNNNNNNNNNNNNNNAUCUUCCAUGUUAGAAACCAUGCUUAGGCCAUAUGACAUCACUGUUGGGACCUGCAGCGAUCGUAUACUUGUUGAAUUGACUGUUAAUUGUUGUCUUGUACUCAGUCAUAAUCUUACUUGUGUGUUAUAUCUCUGUUCCUUCCCAUUUCUUGUCGAUACUUGUUGUAUUCUCUAUUUGAGCCGAUUAUAAUGAUAUUCUGUGAGCCCGAGGGGCUGGAGAGGUUAGUGAAUGAGAUAGGGCCUGAGUGCCGAGCUGUGAACUAUGUGAGGGUAUAUGGACUGGGUUGCACUCCGCAACAAGCCUUAUGGCUAUUUAUGGACUGUGGAUCGGGUUUCAUGCCGCAACAAGCCUUAUGGCUACUUAUAUGAUUGGGUCGGGCUGCACGCCGCAGCGAUAUAGCGCUUGGGCUCGAAGGAGACCCUCCGGAGUCUGUACACCCCCAGUGAGCGCAUGCACUUAUUGAGAGUGUGUAUUGAGGGCUGAGAGCCGAGAGUAUGAGCUGAUGAGAUGAGUUGAGUGGCUGCUGCCUUGAGAGGCUGUGCUUGCUUUUAUUUAUUGUUGCACUUAGUUGCUAUCUGAUGUUGUUGUGAAAUUACUGAAAGAUUCAUAUCUGUUUUACUUGGGCUCGAACUGAUUUGGCUUAUACCACCGGAUUUGAAAGCAUGUUCACUCUUUACUGAAAACUUUUGAAAUUAUCUGUAUUAUUAUAGUUUGUCACUGUUUCUCAGUUUCUUAUUUAAUUCUAUUACUUGCUGAGUUGGUUGUACUCAUGCUACACCUUGCACUUCAUGUACAUAUCCAGGUGUGUAUGGUGACGGUCGCUGAGUUCGUGCGCGGGUUGAUUAUCAGAGACUUACGAGGUAGCUGCCGGCGUCCGCAGUCCUUGUUUCUCCUUUCUUAUUAUAUUUUCUCUCUUGUAUUGGCAUUUGGCACAGACUGUAGUAGACUCUAUUUCUAGAUUGGUUAUUAGAUGCUCAUGACUUAGUGACACCCCGAUGUCGGGCUAUUUUUUUCGCACUUAUAUUUUUUUUGGGUUUUACCCCUAUUUUUAUGAAAAACUCCAGUUAUUUUAAAUGUCUUAAUUUAUUUCUGUUAAAUUUUAAAAGUAU